CUACGAGAAGAGGCAUAGCCGGCCAAUGCUUUCUCAGAAAGUUCCUGGGCAUCUAUCCAGCAUUUGAGAAUGUUGAAGGCACUGAGGGAAUGAAGAUAUUUAAGAAAAUGAUGGCAUGCUUCUGCGACAACAAGGACCUGGAAUUCGAAGACAGCGGGGCGACUAACGCUGUCAUGCAUUGGCUUUACGAAGUUUUGAGGCCCGAUGCAUGAACCAACAGUGAUCAGGAAACAUUGAAUUUCAAGAAAAGGCUUCGCCAUAGGCUUUUAUGGUGCAAUAUUCAAAUAAAACUCGUUCAGUGUGUGUCGGUAAUUGAAUUAUUU